CCUACGGGAGGCUGCAGUAGGGAAUCUUUCACAAUGGGCGAAAGCCUGAUGGAGCAACGCCGCGUGCAGGAUGAAGGCCUUCGGGUUGUAAACUGCUUUUAUAAGCGAGCAAUCUGAUGGUAACUUAUGAAUAAGGAUCGUCUAACUACGUGCCAGCAGCCGCGGUCAUACGUAGGAUCCGAGCAUUAUCCGGAGUGACUGGGUGUAAAGAGUUGCGUAGGUGGCAUAAUAAGUAGCUAGUGAAAUCUGGUGGCUCAACCAUUCAGACUAUUAGCUAAACUGUUAAGCUCGAGACCGUUAGGGGUAACGGGAAUUUCUAGUGUAUGAGUGAAAUCCGUAGAUAUUAGAAGGAACACCAAUAGCGUAGGCAGGUUGCUGGGACGGUUCUGACACUAAGGCACGAAAGCGUAGGGAGCAAACGGGAUUAGAUACCCCAGUAGUC
rnacentral:rRNA from 1 species